GCUAUGCAUUUGAAGCGAAAAGCCUUUUGCUUUAAAAUGGUGAUUUUUGUCAAUGAAAAACAGCGACCAACGGAAGCUGCUUUUUUGUUGUGCCAAAAAUAGCAUUUUAUGUAAAAGCUUGCAGCGGAAAGCCGGAUUGGGU
rnacentral:misc_RNA from 1 species